CAUUUAUUGGUCUGACAGCAGCUUUGAUGCAAUUAUCCGCUCAAAUCUUGAUGGCUCAAACGAAACUGUUAUUAUAAAUGGCAGUGGUUUUGGAAAAGGACAUCUCACUUUAGAUGUGGAAAAUAGCUGGAUAUACUUUAUGGACGAUGAAAUUGGUUCAAUUGAAAGGUGUACUUUAGAUGGAGAUGAUCAAAUGACAGUAAUCAGCGACUCUGUUUUGACCAAAAAGUCACGAAUAUUACUGGAGUUUGAAGUCGGAAGAAUUCAUUGGACAGUACGAUACAUGAUAAGGUCUGCGUUUUUAAACGGAAGUGAUGUGCAGGAAAUUAACGGUUAUGGCUUUAAA